AGAGGAGGAGACAAGGAAGUAAAUCAAUGAUCAGAUUCAGUUAUUUUUGAUUAACUGACAAGAAUGACUCUGACUUUCUGGAAAUUACAAAUGGCUUCGAACUCGACAUUCCUGCCUCAGCAACAGAGGAUAAAAAUCGUGAUGUGAUGGAUAUAGCACACAAGUGAGAAAUAUAAAUAUGGACUACAGGCUUCUAAAGAAUAAUUGAGCUUGCUGAGGAUCUGUGCCAGAUAUUGGAAAUGUCUAAGAUGUCAAGAGCACCUGCACCACCUCGUAGGGAGAGCUUACAGAGGCCCCACCCCCUCUGUGGCCUGGCUCCACACCAAG
rnacentral:lncRNA from 1 species